GUUUUUCCUGAGGUGCAAAGGUUAAUUUGAGAGAAAAUACUUUAAAGGUGACUAGAAGAAAGAAUAGGGGAUGUCAGAGACAAAGCUUCUCCUCUGCAGUGCACUGUCUGGAUAUGGCUACGAAAGUAUUCUGUAUGCUGAAACCAUUUGUCACUGUUCGGGUAAUGAUCCAGAGCGGCCAAUACAUCUAGCUUGUCAGAUAAUAAGCUAAUAAGACAACUGGGGUUCUGUCAGAGUCCAUUGUCUACAGCUGCACUCAAACUGCUGUUCUUCACGGCAGAGGGUUCUUGCUCCCGGAGCUCGCCGAUCGGCCUAGUGUUUCUGAUAUCUCCAGCAUCAGCCUGGAAGACGUCCACUUCGGGGUACACAGGGUGCGGCCUUGCCAGUGUUGCCAACUGAAGCAUCGCAGGAGAUUAAAACCUUGAGACAGCAGUGGACGCUCCGGUUGAAAUAAGCAAUGCUGCAGACUGUAACAUCAAAACAGCGAGAUGUUGGCCUUCACUCCUGCUAGUGAGAGAGAGGGCCUGUGGGAUGUGAGUGGUGGAUGGACAGUGUUUUUUAAUGUACUGUAGAUC